rnacentral:rRNA from 1 species
AUGAACGCUGGCGGCGUGCCUAAUACCUGCAAGUCGAGCGAACGGACGAGAAGCUUGCUUCUCUGAUGUUAGCGGCGGACGGGUGAGUAACACGUGGAUAACCUACCUAUAAGACUGGGAUAACUUCGGGAAACCGGAGCUAAUACCGGAUAAUAUUUUGAACCGCAUGGUUCAAAAGUGAAAGACGGUCUUGCUGUCACUUAUAGAUGGACCCGCGCUGCAUUAGCUAGUUGGUAAGGUAACGGCUUACCAAGGCAACGAUGCAUAGCCGACCUGAGAGGGUGAUCGGCCACACUGGAACUGAGACACGGUCCAGACUCCUACGGGAGGCAGCAGUAGGGAAUCUUCCGCAAUGGGCGAAAGCCUGACGGAGCAACGCCGCGUGAGUGAUGAAGGUCUUCGGAUCGUAAAACUCUGUUAUUAGGGAAGAACAUAUGUGUAAGUAACUGUGCACAUCUUGACGGUACCUAAUCAGAAAGCCACGGCUAACUACGUG